rnacentral:rRNA from 1 species
CAGUAGCCGCGGGAAAACGUAGGGUGCAAGCGUUAAUCGGAAUUACUGGGCGUAAAGCGUGCGCAGGCGGUUAUAUAAGACAGAUGUGAAAUCCCCGGGCUCAACCUGGGAACUGCAUUUGUGACUGUAUAGCUAGAGUACGGCAGAGGGGGAUGGAAUUCCGCGUGUAGCAGUGAAAUGCGUAGAUAUGCGGAGGAACACCGAUGGCGAAGGCAAUCCCCUGGGCCUGUACUGACGCUCAUGCACGAAAGCGUGGGGAGCAAACAGGAUUAGAUACCCCCGUAGUCCCUGUCUUUAUACA